rnacentral:lncRNA from 1 species
AAAAUAAUGGAAAGAAAAACUAAUAAAAUAACUUGGUAAAAUAAAUAACAGUCACGCGAUCUGAUCCCCCAGCAGCACACGAUCUGAUCAUCUGUAAGGGCUGAACUGCUUCAAUCUUCAAGGGCCACGUCUGCAUCAAAAAUUGCAGAGAUAUAUUUUUCGCUGAAAACAAUGUAAAUCUACAACCCGGAUCCUGUACGUACUCAGUUUCCUUAAAACAUAUUCACCCUUCACUGUAGGCACUUAAGGUUUAGUUUGAAUGUCUGUCUUCAAGAUACAACGAAAUAACCAGUAAAAUUUGAGCACUUCAAUUUCUAACCCGACGAAAUGAAUUCAUGUCAGAACAGCACCAUCAAGACUUAGACAUAAAUGAAAAAUUUUAUGAUAACUCGAACAAAAAAUUAUGCAGAGAUUUGGAAUUGGAAAUGAUGAAGUUUUCUAGUGUUGAAUGGUGGAUAGUUUGAAAAUGAAGGGUUUAAUUUGAACUUCUACUUGUUUCUUUUUUUUUCGCCCCCAAUAAUAUUUCUCUCCAUCCAUGUUUGGGUGUUUUCCAU